rnacentral:rRNA from 1 species
UACGUAGGGGGCUAGCGUUGUCCGGAAUCAUUGGGCGUAAAGCGCGUGUAGGCGGUUCGGUAAGUCCGCUGUGAAAGUCGGGGGCUCAACCCUCGAAAGCCGGUGGAUACGGUCGGACUAGAGUGCGGAAGAGGCGAGUGGAAUUCCUGGUGUAGCGGUGAAAUGCGCAGAUAUCAGGAGGAACACCAAUUGCAAAGGCAGCUCGCUGGGACGUUACUGACGCUGAGACGCGAAAGCGUGGGGAGCAAACAGG